GCUUUGGCAGCACAUACUAAAACUAGAACGAUACAGAGAAGAUUAGCAUGGCCCCUGUGCAAGGAUGACACGCAAAUUUGUGAAGCAUUCCAUAUUUUU
rnacentral:snRNA from 1 species